CUCGGUUAUGGUGACAUGGUACCCGAGACGAUCGCCGGUAAGAUCGUUGGCGGCGUCUGCUCACUCAGCGGAGUGCUUGUCAUUGCUCUGCCUGUUCCUGUCAUCGUAUCCAAC
rfam:Phlebotomus papatasi Contig1789.6, whole genome shotgun sequence.